rnacentral:lncRNA from 1 species
CAGGUCUCCAAUGAACUGUGAGUAUGAAGAGUGCAUGCAAAUUUUACCCUAUUGAUAUAGAUGUGCUGAUGAUCGCGUAUGCUACCUUAAGAACUUAGAACGACUCUAAAUGUUGUCAUUAGAACUGGAUGCACAUUUUUAAGUAUUAUUACCUGUCUCCUAUAUUGAAGUUGAACUGGAACUUCUUGUUCGAUUUGUUGUUUUUGUUCUUAAGACCAUCUCCUAGUUUCUCUGUCACAACCCAUUCAUUAGCUCUCUUUGCUUCAAAUAAACCAAUGAAGGUUGCCUUGGUGCGGUGGAAAGACAUAACAUUUUCAAACAGAAUCCAGUAAAACAAUAAGUGGAUUGACCUGCAAAAUCCAGUUCAGCAAACUAAGGAAAAAGAGAAAAAUUAAAAGGGCUCAGAUAUAUUAGAAAAGAAGUUCCCGGACCUUGGUGUUCCCACUGAAUUGAGAGUGGUGAUGAUGCAAGGAAUAUAAAUGGCUCCCCAUUUUGGGACAUCGAUUUCAGGAACCAUGAUGGUUAAUGGAAGGACGACACAGAAGAAGAAAAAUGUGACCAUAUGAGCUAUGAUUUUCCGUACAAAGAAGAAGCUGUAAAUCACAUAAACCUUCUUCCAGAAAUUUACUUUCUGCAACAAUCAGCACAAAAAAUAAAGAUAUAUUGUUAAUGUUGUUUCGAUUUAGAUAGAAUCAGAAUUUUGACACUAUAGUAUAGUAAACAUGCCUUGUUCCUCACGAUUUCCAUCACCAUUUUUCUGAACAAAUUAGCAGGACCACAUGACCAUCUAUGUUGCUGAUACCGGAAGGCUUUGAAAGUACUAGGAAGUUCACUUUUUACCUAUGGUGAUUCGAGCAUGUAAAAUGUUGUAAGCUAAAAUACUGAUCUUCAUAUAUUAUACAAUGCACAAUCACAUGGAUAGGCAUAACUACCUGAAGAUCACCAAGGUAAACAAAUUUCCAGCCCCUAAGACUAGCUCGGACAGCAAGAUCCAUAUCUUCAACUGUUGUUCGAUCCUUCCAUCCACCUGCCUCAUUGAUAGCAGCAAUUCUCCAUAUACCACCCGUUCCUGCACAAUGGUUCGAUCAAAAUUAUUUGUUAGACAUGCUAAUUUUUCUUUAUAAUAUAAUACACAAGGUUUUCACAAUAAGUCAUACAGACAUCCCAAACUUGCAAAAUUACAGAGUUUGGAUGGCUAAUCUAAUAGGAUUAGCGUAAAAGAGCUGUGUUAUAGGAGUGCUUCACAAGCAUUAUUUGAUUUAAAGGAUUGGACCACAGAGCAAAAGACUCAGCAGGUGAUCAAGCGAAGUUGCUAACAAUUAAAAUGGACCAUUCUCUUUGUGAUCUCUGUCCUCUAUAAGAGUCACAUGUCAAUGUUAUUUGUAGAAUCCAAAGCACUCUCAAUCAGUGUCAAUACAUUAAUUUUUGCCACUAGGGUAUGUAUGAAACCUCGACGCAUCAACUAUGAGACAUGUUUAUAAUAGAAGUUUAAUUAUACGAACUCAUAUCUAAUCUAAUCGUUUAGGGAGGAAGUGAGAAAUGCUAAUAGAAGAUGAGAAAUGUUGAUAAAAAUAUAAGUACCAUUGAAACCGAAGAAGGCAUGAGUAGCUGAUCCUACUUCUUGCUCCACUGUAAAAUGGUAAUCCAGUGACAUCUCUUGCAUUCUUGUCAUCAAACAUUCAUCAGAAUUUACUGCAAUAAAAACCCUAGUUAUUUACUAAUAAAAUCACACACACUGCAUAACAUAUCUACUGCAACAACCUAAACUUUACGAAUAUAAAACUAUACGGACACACCAUACUGUCUAAUAAACAUAUGCUAAUAAAAUGUUUAUUGUAGGAGACCACUAGACCCCAAGUGUCGGUGGGUGAAGUAAGCCAGCUAGCCAGCAAGAGUCAAGCAUCUCUUAUGUUGACAAACUUGCCCCUGAAAUCUAUACACUUUCUCUGCCGAUCAAUCCGGUGAAUUACUUUGUUUUUAUCUCAAAAAUAAUAAGGAACUUUUUAAGAAUCCACAAAAACUCUUCACUGUCCACAAAUUCUUACUGAAAACAUGACACAAUGCUGCUGUUGUUAGAAUAUAGUCGUGAUAAGCACUUCCUCUGACACCUUGAGAUUUUAGGAGAACGGAUCACUUAAGAGUCGUAAGAAUCUUCCCAAUCUCAAAAGUAAAAAUUAUGACACACUAAUUAGUCCACCGACACUCUUAAUUAGAGAACAAGACAAGAGGAGGUAGUUAUAAUGGCACUCUACUACAUUACUUAAUUUGAUUAGGUGGUUAGCAGGUUUACCGAAUCUCCAUCGAGCUUGAACAAGAGCAAUUUUAGAAUUGUGCAUGAGAAACGGGAUGGAUCGCCUCAGAAAAUCAGGUUCUGGUCGAAAAUCAGCAUCGAAAAUGGCAACGUAUUCGCAAUCUUUAACGUAAUCUCUUUUUAAUCCUUCUUUGAGAGCACCAGCUUUGUAUCCUCCCCUUGUUUCUCUGAUUUGGUAGGUAACGUUUAAGCCUUUGGCUGCCCACCUUUUGCAUUCCUUCUCAACUAAAUCCUGCGGCAUUAGUUAUAAUUACUAAAACGCUUAAUCAACAUUUAUCGAAUGAUGAAUCGAGCUAUAUUAAGUUGAACUUGGAAUUACCUUGAUAAUAGGGUCAGUUGAAUCAUCAAGAACUUGAAUAACGAGACGAUCUGCAGGCCAUGAGAGGUUACAUGCAGCUCCAAUUGAGAUCUUGUAAACCUGCAAAGAAAAUAACAAGUUUUACACAAGAACAAUAGACAAAUAUUAACAGAGCAUAAUACACCAAUUGCGAAAAUCAAGUAAUGUGAUAAAACUAACCUCUCUUUCAUUGAACAUAGGAAUCUGAAUAAGAACCAAUGGAAAAGUAGAGCUUCCAGCUUCCAAAUCUUCCUUCAUGGGCUCCCAGUUGUAUCUUUUCUCCGGCUUUUGCCAGAAGAGUUUCACCAGAACAAUGACUAUACCCAUGUAUAAUCUCUCGGCAAACAACAUGAGUUCCAUAACUAAACAUACAACCACUGCAAAUUUCAGCAAUGGUACAAUCAGUGGGACUCUAAUGAGCUCCCAGAGUAAUCCAAUUUGUGAAGUUAAAUCCACUGUUGUUCCCUGAAAUGCCUGCGGCAUGAAACUAUUUGCAGAAACUUCAGCCAUUUUUUCUACUAAAAACAGAGGAAAAAACAGGGGAAAACAGAGUAAAAAACAGGGGAGCUAAAUAGCAACCACUAGAUCUGUUAAUGCAAUCAAACCAUUUUGUGGGUAUGUGUAGAUUUUGUCUGUGAUGCUAUACAACAAUGUGGGUGAUAUUUGAGUGAAGCAUUUUUAGCUCUAUCUCAAGUGGGCUAUAUUAGAUCUCUGUUUUUCUCUGAAUCACACAUAAUAGAAGAAGAGGCAGAGCAGGAUUGCUGCACUGUCUAAACAGAGAGUAAAGAGAGUGAGUAAUGGAGAGAGAGAAGUGUGCUCAUUUAUAAUCCUUUUUUCCCUUUAGUCUAUCUCCGUAUUUUUUUUUUUAAAUUUUACUGCUCAUUUCUGACUUUGUUUUGGCCGGUUGCUUCUUAGUCUUGUAGUUAUUAUUAUUGAAUUGUUUGCAAUUUUUCAUGGAAUUCGUGUCGAAUCAAAUUUAUUCAAAAUGUACGCAGAUGUUAGGAAUUUAAGUCAAAUCAAUUAUAUUCAGUAUUUCGUCCUAUACAUAUAUGAAAUGAGUAAACUUUAUUUACGAUAAGAAUGGAAUAGACAGAGUAUUUCCGUAAGAAUCCAUAAUAUUAGAUACGAAGAUUAUUUAUAGAAAAAAAUAGGUGAACUGAAGAAAUAAAAAUGUCGGUAACCAUAAUGUGAGAUGGGGCUAUGCUUAGCAGCAAUAGAAGAAGAUGGGGCAUCAAAUGAUGAAUCAUAUAGAGCCAGCUAGAGAUGUAUAGAUAAAAAUAAAGCAAAUGGGUGCACACUGCACACACAUAUAAUUGGCUUUUAGUGUAGUCUUCCAUGUUCCAUCCAUUUAACUCAUAUGUUCAUACUUAUGUAACAACAAUCACAAAGUUACAGUCCAGAACACACAUGAGUUGUUCCAUGAUUUUAGGUGUGUUUACAUGUGGGCAAAACUUGGAGCCUGCUUGCAUUAAGAUGCUCUUCGAUCAAUAUCUUCAAUCAUGCGCUAAAAAUAAAUAAUUCAUAUUUUAAACAAAAAUUUCUGAUCAUUAUAUAAGAAAAGUUUUAAUUGUAAUGAGACAUUAUUGUUAUAUACGAUUUUAAGGGAUUGUGCUGUUGGCGGGGUGGUAUGCGAUUAGAAUAAGGAAUCAGAUUAAGAUUAAGGCGGUAUCCAUCUAUUUGGUUGAGUAUUGAAAUCAAUAUAUUUAUUAUUGUUCAAAAAAUAAGUUAUUAAUUUAUAUCACUAGAGACUGAGUUUUACAAAAUAUAGUUUUAUAAUUUAUUUUAAAAUUUUGAUUAAAAAUUUGAAUAUUAAAAAUUUUUUUAGAGAAAAAAUUAAAAUAAUUUAUGGAACUAUAUUUUACAAGAGACAAAUAUGUGUCGAAUUCUAUUUCCCGAACAAUUUUUUUUUUAGUUAUAUGUUAGGUGGGUAGUGGGUACAGGCAGGGUACUGAACUACUGUCUACUCAUGCAUAAUACAUAAGUACAUUUUGGCAUCCUGUUUAAAUUUACUCAAACACAGUGAUACAUCUUUUUCCUCCCUCCGGCAAAUACCAGGCUUCUCCAUCGAGGUAUCGACUGAUUUUUUCACUCUAAAUCUUCAAUUUCAUAAUAUGAUUCAUCUCCAAAAUUCUCUAUUAAAAAUUCGCAAUUUGAAAAAGAAAAAACAGAGCUUUUAAGCUGUUCGAUAAAAUGUCACAGUGAAUUUUGUUGGAUAUAGUUUGAUAUAAAUCAAGCGUUUUUUUAAUUUCAUCAACAUAUGUUAAAAGCGUGACACACCAUAGUCUACAUCCUGUAUCCGCCACUGGAUUAGAGGACAGGAGAUAACGACGUGUAGCUUUUACAGGCAUGAAUGAUCAGGCCCGAUACAAGUCAUUCUAGAUUUUAGAACAAGUGGCCACUGCUGCGUGCCUGCGUCCAUGCGAAGUGGUAGCAAUGAACCAAAUGCUUGUCAAGACUGAAGAUACUAUGGGAAUAAAUUGCAAAUAAUUUGAGUUGCAUAGAAAUUGAAAGGAACUGGAGUUGAUAAUAUUGAAAUGAGCAAGUUGAUUAAAGAUGGUCAUCUUGAAAAUAGCUUUUCAGUUAGAGGUAUUUCAGGCGCAAUUUGAGCUCGGAAACUUGAGCCUACAUUUUCAGUCAAAUUGUUCGGCGCAUCAUUUAGCAGGGGAAAAAAAAAAUUGUUCGGCGCAUGCAGCACCUAAAUUCUAUAUUGGUGUUUAUAAGUUAGCAAAAACUCUGUUUUCGUUUGUCUAGAAGUCGGUUCUCGAUUGGUGCUGUAAUUUACGGAGAACCAAUAUAACUUUUUAUUUGAAUUUGAGGUUGAUUAGUACCCAGAAAAGAGAAAUAGAUCAUUUUUUUUGGAAAAUAUGGGUUAUAUGAAAUUCAGUUUACUAAUUGAGAAAUUUGUUGUUCGCCAAAUAUAAUCAGACUUGACUAAAGUUAUGAAUACAGAAAAUGUACGUAUGAAAUGUAAAAUUUUGAAAAGAGUAUAUAUAAUUUUAUUUUUAAUAUAUUUUACUGAGUUGGAGUUGCUCCGAUAAAUUAUGCGGGAAGUCAUCUUUCCACUCUGUUUCGUCUUUAAUCUUCCGAUAACUUGUUAUCAUAUGUGUUUCACAUUUGUUUAACAGAGGAUUGGUAUAUUAAUCCUUCCAUCUCAUCUCAUGUGUUUUCUUUUGAUUACUAGAUAAUCAAUUCUUUUUUUAUCAAAUUUUGCCCAAUAGUUAAGGAAAAUUUAUUAACUAUUCUAAAAAUAAAAAAAAAUGGAUUUUUAAGGUUAUUAGAUUUAUUUUCUAAAUAUAUAAGUUUUCUCAAUCUUUUUAAGUUGGAUAAUAUGUGUAAUUUACUAUCAAAGUUUAUUCUUCAAUAAUUAAAACAUGACAUACACUAUGAAAUGUACGGAGUAUAAUAUUUUGAUAACUUUUAAUAAUAUAUAAUUAAUGCGUAAUUUCCGGUAUCACAAAAGUGGAGAGCCUAAUAAAUAUAAGGACGUCACGUACAAAAUUAUAAUCCAACAACUUGAUUCUUGGAGUCAUUUUCCGUGGGGAGUGGGAUAUGUAUAAACACAAGAGUAGAUGUAAAUAAAUUUGUUAUUACCAGAAAAAGUUAACCAGAAAUAGGCAAGCAAAAGAUAUGAAAAUAGACGGUUGAGUGUUGAGGACCACUCGUAGUGACAAAUCAUAGAUAGUUGAAUAUGAAUUUAUAAUGCCGUGAGACCUGUGAGUGUGAAAACUCGGACAAGUUCGUGGUUUUAUCGGGGUUUGAGUUGAGGCUUGGGAUUUAUUUGGAAAUACCAUUGUGGCUAUUAAUACAAUUGAACUAUAGAAUAUUUACCAUUGAAAUUAACUGAAUUUAUAAGUGCAAGAAACAUUUAUAUUCAAUUAUUAUUAAAACUAUAAAAUAUAAGAGAAAUAUGUAUACAAAUUUCAUUCUAAAAUUUUCAAGUAAUUUUAUGUUGAAAAAAUAACUUCAAUUAAUCAUAACUUAAAAUAAUAAUAAUAAUAAAAAAAUUAAAAAUUAGCAUUAUCCAAAAUACCUUAGCCUCCUGACAGAUCUUUCCAUCUCCUUUUUUUUUCCCAAUGCGCCUUCAGGAGUUCAGGGUCUUCAGUCACUUUUUACUGUGAAAUCUUUAUUUAUUUAUUUUAAAUAAUACUCUUUGUUUGGCCGGGAUUACCAUCUUUUAAAAUUAUUUUAUUUGUUUUAGUUAUUAUUUUUUUGUUGAAUUUUAUUCCCAAUUUAUCUAAAUUUUAUUUUGCUUGGUAACUUUUUUUUUAUAUUUAGUCUAAUUCAAUGUCCUAGAUGCUGUUGAUAGCACAAAUUGACUAUAAUGAAGGGGACAAUAUGCAUAUAUUAACUCGAAUUUCCGCUUGAUUGUCUUUUUCAUGAAAAUCAGAUUAAUCAAUAAUAUAAUUUAUUUUAUAUUUAUUGAAUAUAAUUAUUUUUCAAGUGUUAUAUGAUUCUUCAUUGUUAAAUUAACUCUUUUUCAGAAAAUAUAAGAAUAUAAAUAAUUAUUAUAGCCACCAGUAUAGUACAUUCAAAAUUUAUUUAGUUUUUUAACUAAUAUAUAUUCAUCCUCAUAUAUAAUUUUUUAUAAUGAUAAAUUAGUGAUAUAUAUUAUUUCUUAAAUUAAAGUUAAUUAAAAUUUUAGUGAUUUCUCAUCAUGAUACCAUUUAAAUGAUUUCCAGAGUAGCAACACAAAAGUACGUAGAUAAAAAAUCAGCUGCUAACAAAGAAGGCAUAUUAUAAUGCUAAUAUUAUAUUAUAAAGCUUCGCCCUAUGAUUGUGCAACUUUAAAAGAUUGAAAGGUAAAGUAUCGAUGUAAGCAGAUUUAAGAGUAAAGACAGAUGCAAGAUACUUUGUCCAAUUUUCAAGGUAAAAUGCCUUGGCCAUUACUAGGAGUCUUAAGUGCAUUGUAGAUUUGUAUUUGAUUUCUUUCAAUUAUUAAUUUGCAUGCAAUAUAUCUGUUGCAUUAGAAAAUUCUUCUCGACGAUUCGGCUCCUUUUUCAGUUAUGUUUUGGUUGAAAAACAUUGAUAACAGAGGUCAUACAUAUGCCUUUGUCAUAUGAACAUGACAUUCUAGAACUUGGGUUCAUUUUGUAUAAAAUGAAAUGAGAAAUUAUUGGAAAGUUUUAAAGUGGAAAAAAGUACGAGACAAUAUUGACUAAAACUAUGUCGGUCUAAAAUUAAAUGAUGAAACUUGUAGAGAAAUAAGAUAAAGAAGUUGAACAUUAUUUCUUCUAAAACAUGUGAGUUCGUUUUUAGUUCAAAUUGUUUGGAAUGAUUUUAGAGUAUAAAUUUCAUUCUAUCCAUGUGAAUGCAAACCAAGUCUAACAAAUAAUGAAUCAGUUAUAAUUAUAAUUUUGUAACAGGAAGAAUGAAUCAGUUUGAAAUGAAGCGUAAUCAGAUAAUCCCCUGUACAUUUUGAUGAAAUGGUGAAAGCGAAAGGUAAGAAUAUAAAACUCUUAUGGUGAAAGUAAAAGGUAAGAAUAUAAAACUCUUAAACUCAUCUAACAUAUUAAUAUUCACAGAAAGUAAGGACUAUGAAGAUGGUAAGAAAAUUUUGUGACAAAUUACAAGGUUGAUUCUUCUGACAGUUUAUUUCACUCUUCAAACUGAGAAAAAGCUACAUGUAUAACUGAAGGGAUUUGGUGAACAAAUAAGACAAUAACAAAUGAUAUAAUUCACAAAUAAUAACAUGGAUACUGAUCUAAACUCUGAAGAUACAAUAGCUGCAAUCUAUACUUUUAUCAACCUUUCCUGACUCUUCUGUAUCUACCCUAAAACCAUUACCAAACUGUUUUCUUUUCUAGUUUCUGGCUUCUUCUCUAAGAACCGAUGAACGAAAUCAUUGCUGAACAGAAACACACAUUCUAUAUACGCAUGGAAAGAAGAACGAUGUAGCACGAAGGAUAUGUUGCUGAUGCUUGCUUUGUCUAUUAGGUUGGGACAAUUGUGCCAAUAUAGCCGAAUCCCACAAUUGAAAAGGUUAUUGUCUGGAGGAACAUGUAAACGAAGUAAUUGUUUUUUCCAUAUAGAUAAUCAUAGCAGCCGCAGAAGAAGAGAAAUGCUGUGAAGCCCAGCUCUGUAACAUGUAUCCUGAAAACACAUCACAGGAGUUGGAAAGGGGAACCAGUAGUUACAAAUCAAUGUUAUAAACAAGGAUGUACAUUUUACUCUACUGAUAGAGAUGUGCUGAUGAUGAUCACAUAUGCUAUGUUAAGAACUCAGAACGACUCUAAAUGUUGUCACUAGAACUGAAUGCACAUUUUUAAGUAUUAUUACCUGUCUCCUAUAUUGAAGUUGAACUGGAACUUCUUGUUCGAUUUGCUGUUUUUGUUCUUAAGACCAUCUCCUAGUUUCUCAGUCACAACCCAUUCAUUAGCUCUUUUUGCUUCAAAUAAACCAAUGAAGGUUGCCUUGGUGCGGUGGAAAGACAUGACAUUUUCAAACAAAAUCCAGUAAAACAAUAAAUGGAUUGACCUGCAAAAUCCAGUUCAACAAACUAAGG